GACGAACGCUGGCGGCAGGCCUAACACAUGCAAGUCGAGCGCCCAGCAAUGGGAGCGGCAGACGGGUGAGUAACGCGUGGGGAUGUGCCCAAUGGUGCGGAAUAACCCAGGGAAACUUGGAUUAAUACCGCAUGUGCCCUUCGGGGGAAAGAUUUAUCGCCAUUGGAUCAACCCGCGUCUGAUUAGCUAGUUGGUGAGGUAAAGGCUCACCAAGGCGACGAUCAGUAGCUGGUCUGAGAGGGUGAUCAGCCACACUGGGACUGAGACACGGCCCAGACUCCGACGGGAGGCAGCAGUGGGGAAUAUUGGACAAUGGGCGCAAGCCUGAUCCAGCCAUGCCGCGUGAGUGAUGAAGGCCUUAGGGUUGUAAAGCUCUUUCGCCGGUGAAGAUAAUGACGGUAACCGGAGAAGAAGCCCCGGCUAACUUCGUGCCAGCCGCCGCUGUAA
rnacentral:rRNA from 1 species